UAAACAUUAUUCUGUGUUACCUCCCAAGAAGAGGGGUAUUCCCCACGUGGCUCUGCUGUUAAAGAUAGGAUGAGGUCUCUGGGAAGGAGAUGACCUCCUGAGGGCCACGCAUGUGAAGAAAGAGGAAGUGGCGGAGGAGCAAGAAGGAGAAGAUAUGGAGAAUUGCUUGGUUACUAUUUGACCAUUGUUCAGACUAAAGAAGUAAAACACAGCUUGGAGGAGGGACUUGUCUUAGUUCACAAGGCUAAGGAGAGGCAACACUGAUGCCUGGGGCUGUGUUUCCUGAUUCCCAGACCUGUACUUAAGGGGAAAGCUCUAUCACACUAACGUAAGUCAGUCUUCAUCGUUCCAUUUAUCUCUACAUGCAAUAAAUGCCAUAGUGAUUGUACCUAAGAGGGGGUC
rnacentral:lncRNA from 1 species